AUGCACAACCUACUUCACAAGAUUCAAGGGCGUGGAGCUACUGUUCGUACCUCUCUCUAUGCGGACGAUGCGGCGAUCUUCAUCUCCCCAACACGAGAAGACGUUGACAACCUUGCGGCCAUCCUUAGUGCCUUCGGCGAGGUCACCGGUUUGUCCACCAACUUCCAGAAGAGCUCCGUUGUCGCAAUUCGUUGUGGCCACCUCAACCUCGACGACAUCCUUCAGAGCCUGCCCGCCUCGCGGACGUCUUUCCCUUUGAAGUACCUAGGCCUCCCUCUAUCCAUUUGGCGGUUGAAAAGGGUGGACUUCCAGCACCUUGAGGACAAGGUCGCCGCCAAGCUUCCUCCAUGGCAAGGGAGAAACAUCACCACGAUCGGUCGGGCGGCCUUGGUCAAAUCGGUCCUCACUUCGCAAGUCGUCUACCACAUCACCGCCCUCAACGUCCCUCCCGGUGUGUUGCACAACGUUAAUAGAAUCGAGCGUGCUUUUCUUUGGUCAGCUCAGAAUACAACUACAGGCGCAAAAUGCAAGAUCAAUUGGGAGACAGUCUGCCGGCCAACGCAUCUCGGCGGGCUUGGGGUCCUACACUUGGGGAAAUUUGCAAGGGCUCUCAGACUAAGAUGGCCGUGGGUGGAAUGGAAGGACCCAUCGAGACUGUGGGUGGGCUUAGGAAACCCGUGCUCGGAGGUGGAUAUGGACCUCUUCUACGCCGCCACAGUCAUUACCAUGGGGAAUGGGGGGAAGACACCCUUCUGGGAAGCGCCGUGG
rnacentral:rRNA from 1 species